GCCAGGAGGUGAUGAGCUCCUCAGUGGCUGGAGGGACCCGCCGGAGCUGCAGCCGCCACCACCGCGCGGGCCACGCUGAGGAGUGCCAGGCGGCUUGGGGCGCCCAGGGACCGUGGCCUCGGCACGCCGGGGCGAGCGGAGGAGAGCAGCCGGCUCGCGCUCCCCGGCCGUGGCUCGCUCGGUAACGCUUCAGCAGUGCUGUGCUGCCAGAAAUGCUAGCUGAGCCCGUGCGAGGAGGAAAUCUUGCCGGAAUUGCUGACGUUAUCCCAGAAAGACCCUUUGCAGAUUGACUCAACAGCCACAGAGCUGAUCUGAUUGGGGGCCUACUAAAUACAUUAACGACGUCGAAAGUAGCCUACUUUAAGAGAAAAUAUGCAGAAGAAGAACAUUUACAUCAAGAUUACCAUGAGUAUUGUCCAAAACACCUGAUACUACCUGAGGACCGGACUUGCAUCCUAAAACUUUCUCUCCAGAAACUCAGAUUCCUGGAAGACCCUGAAGCCUAUCUCCGUAGGUCUGUAUUAAUUAACAAUCUGUUGAGGAAGAUUCACCUAGAGACAGAGAGGGAGAGCUAUGAAUACUUUAAGGAGGCUCCAUGUUAUAGGACUACUUACUCUGAUGCACGAAAACGGCUGAAGUUUAUGGUACAAGAAUGCUGUUCUCAGUCACUCUAUUAUGAAGAGCUGCAUUCGUAUCAUAUUGUGCCUUAUUCUGCAGAGAACGCCAUUUAUGGAAUGGGCUACACAAGCAGCCACUUGGAGCAAAAUUCUCAAUUGCUUAUUUAUAAAAUGAAUUAAAAGUAGCUGUUAGACCCACUGAUGUUUGUUUCUGAAUGCUUGAACUGCUUAUGGAGAUGUUAAGAUGAGGCACUAAUUGCAGAUAUCCUUGUGAUCAAAGCCGGGAUGCAUACAGAGCUGAGUGGAAGGCACUUUGAAUAAUGCUCUGCAGUCACCGGUGUUAACCCCUUGGUUAUGAAGUGCGUUGCUGUACACACAGAGCUGGUGCAAUGCAAAGGUUCUCAUAUGCAGAGACUGUGUGCAAUGUGUUUUGUAGAAAUAAAACUGCAUUUAAGUUAUCUGUGUGUAGAUACAGACAUUCAAAGCCACUUUGCAGUUAAAUUAUGCCAUCCCUGGUGGAAGGGGAGCCCCAAAGUAGCAGAGCAGUCUAACAAUGAGGAGUCAAAAGCACGUUAUUUACUGUAAAAGUAUAGGUAGAAAGUUUCAUUGAAGAUGGAGGAGUCAGUGCCAAAGGAAACAGCCUUUUGCUUAGGAUUUUCAGAGACUAGCUCUCUUGCUACUUGCAAACACACUCUAUUGAGAUUUAUAGUUUUUUUUUUUUUU